rnacentral:misc_RNA from 1 species
UCAAACUUGGUCAUUUAGAGGAAGUAAAAGUCGUAACAAGGUUUCCGUAGGUGAACCUGCGGAAGGAUCAUUACUGAGUGAGGGUCCCUCGGGGCCCAACCUCCCACCCGUGUAUACCGUACCUUGUUGCUUCGGCGGGCCCGCCGUUUACGCGGCCGCCGGGGGGCUAACCCCCCCGGGCGAGCGCCCGCCGGAGACACCAACGUGAACACUGUCUGAAGUUUUGUAGUCUGAGUCGAUUGUAUCGCAAUCAGUUAAAACUUUCAACAAUGGAUCUCUUGGUUCCGGCAUCGAUGAAGAACGCAGC